rnacentral:SRP_RNA from 1 species
ACUGGAUGGUUUGGCAGCCAUUUGUAACUUCUGCUUCUGGAAGGGUCAGCAAUGGGGAGUCUCGUACAUUUGACCUUUCAAUCGGUUGAUGUUGAGUUCAGUCCCGUGAAGCAGAAUGUCUACAUAGCUAUCGUUGCGUAAGCAAUGGUAACUAGGUGGGUUAAGAGGGGGGAACCGCAUGAGGCUGGCAACAGAGCAGUGCAAACCUCCCGCAUUCUUGCAGUCUUCGGGACAGCUGAAUUUGACUUUGUCUUGGUUCGGUUGAUUUGGAUCGUUGGCGACCCAUUGCUAU